rnacentral:rRNA from 1 species
GGGGUCCGGGGGUACGUUUGUCAACGGGUACGUCCGUUUUUGUCUUGGGACUGACCCGGAAAUGCUGGAGGUUAAUCCGGUUUUUUACCGGGUCAAAAAACACUGCGGAGUUGUGAACCCAGUAGUGAGCUCCAAUAGCGAAAACUCAAAGUCCACUAUAAAAAAAUUAACUAAAAAUCCUUUAGUACUACGAUUUAUAUACCUAACACAGUCAAUCGAUUAGAUAACCGAGAAACUACACAUACUACUGUACUACCGUUACUUUUAUGUAAAAGCUUGACUUUCAUAAACACAUCAAAUUAAAACUGUCUCAUAUCCUCGUAUGAGUUACAGAAGGCGAAACACAUACUACCGCCGAAAAGAACGAAUAUCAUUAGUCGAUUUAUUUAUACACCCGUAAAUUUUUAUAGAAACGUUAAUCCGGUCCGCACUCUUUUUUUAUAAGUUUCUGCUGCUAGAGAAAACCACAUAAAGAUAAGAGGGACAAGGUUUAGAAAAACAAACCUACGGUGGCCGUGUGGUGUACAACAAGACUUCUAUAGUACGAUACCCUGAAAAGUCGUCUUAUUUUUGUUUUCCUUCGAUACCACAAUGAACGUAGAGUCAAAAGUGUAAGAAGAGUCCAAAGUGUUUUUGUAUUUGUACUAGCCUACCCGCAGGAACGGCCGCUGGAGCGAUAGAGGUUGGGUAGGUGUCCAACGAACCACAGGAGAGUAGCACAGAUAACCACGUCAUAGUGUAUAGGAGAGAGCUUCUCUACUCUAUUCCUAAUGUCCCGAUGGUUGUUGGGUGGAGUGGAUAUUACCUUCUGUAGGACUAAGUAACAACGUUCGAUCUCUUGUUAUUGAUAGUACAACCACUAAAGGAACUAUAUACCAAGAUGUGCACACAGUAUACCUGGUUACUUUCGUUUCUAUAAGGCCUCUAUUAUUGAUAUACCCGAUGAGGUUUACCUCACCGUCACCUUGGUUGUGGAAAAUAUCCGGAAGUUCAUGGACACACCUUCAGAUGGUACGUUCGUAAUAGGCUG